rnacentral:rRNA from 1 species
GACGUAGGGCGCGAGCGUUGUCCGGAUUUAUUGGGCGUAAAGAGCUCGUAGGCGGCUUGUCGCGUCGUUCGUGAAAACUCACAGCUCAACUGUGAGCUUGCGGUCGAUACGGGCAGGCUAGAGUUCGGUAGGGGAGACUGGAAUUCCUGGUGUAGCGGUGAAAUGCGCAGAUAUCAGGAGGAACACCGGGUGGCGGAAAGGGCGGGGUCUCUGGGGCCCGA